rnacentral:lncRNA from 1 species
UGAUUAUUCAGUAGAACAGGAGACUGAAAUAAAAAGGUAUUAUUUAGUAAAAAUACAGAGAAUUCUAAAACAUAUAAUAUUAGCAGAUAUAAUGAGAAGCUGCCACCUCCACGGUUAAGAAAGACACCCAGUAAAGAACUUUGCCUCCAGGGCUGAGAUAUACUGAACUUUCCAGUGAGGGUUCUGUUCACUGAAUAGCUGAAAAGUUGCAGUAAUAUCAGGGUGAUGGAACUUGCUGAAGAUUUGUUCUUUUGGGUGCUAGGAAAAAACUAUUCAGGUGGAUAUGUCUUACUGGAGAAAAUUUUUGAAACUUCUUGAGGGAGUGCCAUGGGAACCUGCUGGCUGCUGCUGUCUGCCAUCCCCUGCAAAAGCCAGAUGCUUGAGAAGGCGUGGUACCUGCAGGAACUGGGCAGUGAAGGAGCUACACUUGCUGCAAGAGCCUGUAGAAAGGCACACUAGAACCAAUAAGCAAAACCUAUUCCUUCUGUAACAUCUCUCCAGCACUCUUUACUGGCAGCUGGCAAAGCUCAAAGAAUCUUCAUGCAGUAGACAUUUCAAGGUUGGAGAAAUUUUACAGUACAUGAAAUAGUUGAAGUUUGACAGCAAUUUUGGGAUUACAGCAAUUUUGGCUGUAUGUGGGAUGAAAUAAACUCCACUAAGGUGGGAAGAUUACCUGGGACCAGGCGGUCGAGGCUAUGGUGAGCUGUGAUCAUGACACUGCACUUCAGCCUGGACAAUGGGGCAAGAACCUAUUUAAAAAAUAAAAUAAAAUACUCCAAGGGUUCAUUUGACUUUGA